rnacentral:sRNA from 1 species
GCCACCACCACCCAGCAUAUCUUUUGAUAUUUUAAAGACAAGUUCUUAUGUAUUUCAGGCUGGCUUCAAACUCUCUGUGUAGCUUAUGUUGGUUUUAAAAUCUUGUUUCUCUAGCCUCCAUCUCCCAAGUGCUAGGAUGACAGGCAUGUGCUACAUUUAUGACAUGGUUCCUAUCAUUGGGACUUGAGGCACAUUGAUUAGGGCUAGACUGUCAGGCCAGUGAGCCCCAGGGAAUUCUCCUGUCUUUGCUCCAUAGUGCCUGGAUUAUAAGUAUGUAGCUCCUUACCUGGCUUUUUUUGCAUGUGUGCUAUGACUGAACUACAGGGCCUCAUGUUUAAUGCAGCCAUCUCCCUAGCCUUGAGGCCGGUUUUCCCUUCACACCCACCUUGUGCAGUAGUCACUGCCUAUUUCUCACAUGGAGAAGCAGUGGCACCCCAAGGGUGACAAAUUGCUAUGGUCACACAUUUCUCGAGUGAUAAACAACCAGAAAAGAACAACUAGUCACCCAGACCCAAGGAAGGUGACAUCAGGUGCUGCAGACGCUCCCCUCAGGGUAGGAGGGAGUCCCAGAGGUCUCUGGAACUGAGUUGGUGAGGGAUGACCUCCUUUCUAAUGAUAUGUCCUUCUAGACCAUUUGCCAGGUGUUUUUCCCAGAUGGCUUAGAGGCCUCUUAAAUCUGGAGACCAAACUAUGUACUAAAUGAUCAUGUGAAUAAAAACAAACCAACACCAACACUUCCACCCGAUUUAGAGGAUAUUCUAGCAGCAUAGAAUAUUCACAGAGCUUAGGCAAGAAGUCUUAUGUUAGCCAGGCUCUCUAGAGGAACAGAACUUACGACAUUAAUAUAUAUUGAAAGACUAAUCACACUUGAGUUUGGCUCAAGCACUUAAUAUUUAAAAAGCCAAGUGCAGUGUUGGGCACCUAAGAUCCAGUCCCCAUGUGGGGAGGCAGAGACAGGAGGAUUCUCGGGGCUCACUGGACAGCACUAUAGUUCAAUUAGUGAAUUCCAGGUUCAAGGAGAUACUCUGUCUCACAAAGUAACCAUAGACAGUCUACGUUCUAUUAGUAGAACGUGUUCCUCAGCAUGCAGCACUAUCUGGGUUUGAUUUCCAGCAGUGCAUACAACUGGGCGUAACUGUUCACAGCUGCGAAGCAUCCCAUCUCUGGGAGAUGAAGGCAGAACUAGAUGCUCAAGGUCGUGAGCCUGUGAGGUGGCUCACUGUGGAAAGGGGCUUGCUGCUAAACGUAACUUGAAUUUUAACCCCAGAACCCACAUCAAGGGGAGGAGAGAAACAAUUUCUGGAAGUUGUCCUCUAAUCUCCACAUAUUUAUACACACACACACACACACACACACACACACACACACACACACUACAUGAAUGUAAGAAUUUAAAACGUUCAAUCAGGAUCAUCAGCUCUGUAACGAGUUUGAGGCAGGCGUGGGAUACAUGAGACUCAAAAAAAAAAAAUGUAAGAACACUUAACUGUUCUUGCAGAAGACUCAGACUUGGUUCCUGAUACCCAAAUGAUGACUCACAACCAUCUGUAAUUUCAGUGCUAGGGGAUUUGAUGUUUGUUAUGGCUUCUGCGAGUUCCAGGAAUGCUUGUGGUACGCAUACAUACAUGCAGGCAAAAACAUUCAUGCACAUAAACUGUAUCUUUAAAAAGUUUGUAGAAGGUUGUGUGUGAUGAUGUAUGCUUUGAAUCUUAGCAGCUGAGAGGCAGAGGCAGGUGGCUUUCUGUGUGUUCAAAGCUGGCCUGGUCUACAUAGUGAGUUCCUGGAUGUCAGGGCUAUGUAGAGAAACCCUGUCUCAAAAAUAAAUUAAUAAAUAAAUAAUGUAAAGAAUGACUAAAGAAGAUACUUGAUGUGGACCUCUGACCUGCACAUUUGUGUUCAUACAGACUUGGAAAGAUUCCCAUCAUUUGUUUAUAUAAAUACUGCUUUUAUAUAGAGAUGUUUCAGAGAGGAAUAUCAAAGUAGUGUGAGGCACGCUUAAGGCUCAAGUGUAUCUAGCAUUUCCUUUCCCUGCUGUAAACCUUCGGUUUUUCUAGGAAUCUUAUAAACACCCCCAUAUACAGGAAAGGACAAAUCUUAACCCCUUUGUGCAACCCUGUGACCCAGGGUUUCAUUUUAAAUACUGUCCCAGGCACCUUAGAGCUACCCUACAAUCUCAUUCGUCAAAAAAAGUGAGGGGAACGGGGAUAAAUUCUUAUAGCUGGAACUGUAAAGCUGCAGUGCAACUUUUGAGCCACUGAAAUUGUUUAUGUGGCUCAUGUUAAGACACUCGAAUGACUCUCCCUUGAGAAAUUUACAUCCAUAUUAGAUACGGCGAACCCUUUUCCUGAGCAGCCUGUACUUAAGUUUGGGUUAAGCCCUCUUCCUAAUAAACUUCAACUGUGCUUCA